UGAUCGGAAGGGUUGCCUUCCGUUCAACGAGGUACAUGUACCUCAUCAACCAGAAGGAAACCCCUCCGAUUGAUGAGGUACAUCUACCUCAUUGACCGGAAGGAAACCCUUCCGGUCA
rnacentral:miRNA from 1 species